AACGCGAAGAACCUUACCUACUCUUGACAUCCUGCGAACUUGGUAGAGAUACCUUGGUGCCUUCGGGAACGCAGAGACAGGUGCUGCAUGGCUGUCGUCAGCUCGUGUUGUGAAAUGUUGGGUUAAGUCCCGUAACGAGCGCAACCCUUGUCCUUAGUUGCCAUCAUUUAGUUGGGGACUCUAAGGAGACUGCCGGUGACAAACCGGAGGAAGGCGGGGACGACGUCAAGUCAUCAUGGCCCUUACGAGUAGGGCUACACACGUGCUACAAUGGCAAGUACAGAGGGCCGCGAAGCCGCGAGGUGGAGCUAAUCUCACAAAGCUUGUCGUAGUCCGGAUUGGAGUCUGCAACUCGACUCCAUGAAGUCGGAAUCGCUAGUAAUCGCAAAUCAGAAUGUUGCGGUGAAUACGUUCCCGGGGUCUGUACACACCG
rnacentral:rRNA from 1 species